UCGAUAGAGGGGAAGCCGCUUCCUGGGACCAAGGCAUGAGAAAGGUGUCCGGGAUGGCUUGAGAAAGGUGUCCGGGAUGGGGAGAUCCUUGGGACCCGGCUAAGAAUUCCUUCAACCUACUGUGAUUCCCAGCCACCCGGCCUCUCCAAAUGCGUAGGACGGCGGUGGGACAACGAAGAAAACAAUUAAUAUCCUAGAAACAUUUCUUAAAAUUGUUACUACGGCAAAUCCCUUUCUGCUGUCCUCCCUCGAGGCCGUUCGCUGGGCUGGCGCAGCGGCCUGGGGCGGGUAUCCGCGUGCGCGCAGCGGCGCCUAGUGGCGAGGGCCGGGCGCUAGUCGCAUCCCCGCCGGCGGCUGAGCCCCUGUGUGCCCCACUGCCAAGAUUUUUCCCGCGACCGCAGCCUGAGCCGGGAGAGAACGUCAAAGUUGGCUCAGAGAAAGAGAGGGCAGCUUGGAAAUCCGUCUCUCCUCCCUCCAUCAGCUCGCGGCUUCAAAGUUCACCACCCACGCUUGAAUUCCAGCUUCACCCCAGUGGGGCUUCUUUCGGAAGGGUGCAAAGAAGAAGAGCGAGCGGGUAGUGCUCCAGAAAGGACGGCGAGGCCCCGAUCACCUGUUGUCGGGGCGAUACCAAGCAGAUGAGACCACGAUUUCAUGCGUCAGGUCCUCUCUCCUGCGGCCUGACCACGGUGGCUCAGAAUGGGCCCAUGCUAGCUUGCGCUGGCCUGGCCUGGGGUAGAGUCGAGAGGGCUUUCCCGUGCGGUUCUCUCCCGUGGGGGUCUCGCGUGCGGCUCUCCUAACUUCACGCCCCCUCGCGGCCGGCCGAGAACGCCCCAGACAAGGGUCCCGAUGGUUAUUGCUGGGGUAGUGGUUGAUCACCCAGUCGGAUAGGGCGGCCGUGGUGACUGGCCGCUUUCUCUGAGAGCCCUUAUCUGUCCCAGGGCAAGUCGGCUCCUCCAUGAGAUGAAGUCGUGGAAUCCGAGCGGGGUUCGUUGGAAACCGCAGUUAGGAGGAGGCUGCCAGCGUCUGGGUCUCGGAGAGCCAUCCCUUUUGAGAGCCAGCGUUUCAGGAGCCAGGAACUCCGCACUGAUGCAGAAAGUUCAGGACCUGACCGUCGAGUUUACCUCCUUCACGACGCUGAAACUCGUCAAUCUCUUAACACACAGGCUGUCCCUUUUCACUAUUGAAAGCAAAGAAACAGAUCAAAGGAAGUUUCGGUUUCUCUCUCCCUUGGCUACCUUCAAAUGAAAGUCUAAAACCCAAGCAAGGAUAGGCGUGGGGGCAGACUGACGGCGCAGGAAUUAAGGAACUUGGACGCUUUUGCUCAGGUGACUGCCCGGUCAGCAGUGGAAACAGCUCCCUCUCCCCUGCCCUCUCCCCGCUGGUGGGUGUCUAGAGUUGUUGUUCUCCCCUCCAACAGUCCCAAAAGCUUUGGAUUCAUUGGGCCUCCAGGUCACUGACUAUUGCAGGAGCUGCCUGCGGCCGAAUAAGGUGACCUGCAGCACAGGGUCACAGGACCAGCACGGGCAGCGGGGAACUCAUCUGCUGACUCUUACGCUACUUUCUCUGCCGUCUUUUCGUUUCAGACUCUGCUCUUGACACCCCUCAUGGGCCUUGUAACUUUAAGUGGGGCCCAGUCCUUUAAAGACAUCCUUCGGGAUGUCAGUGGCAAUCCACUUUCAAACCUAGGGACAGUUUCUGAAAUGCUGGCGGGCCGCUGGGCCCUCUCUCAGGAACUUGUCUCCUCUUUUUGUACUUCCUUGUUUUCUGGGCUCUGGGGGCUGGACUAGGGCUUAGAAAGAUCAUGGCUGUUGGAAGAAAGAAAGAAACUGGAGGCUUUUUCUCUUGGACAAUGCAGCUCUCCAAGAAACCCUGGGAGGAUAUUGGGGAAGACUUAGAAGGGCAAUUCCUCUCCCUGUAACGAAUUUUAGCUUUUAAAGGCAUGUUUGUGCACACUCAGUUCUCAGUGAACCUCGUCAUCUGGUAUAGAAGGAGUCAUGAUACCCAUUUUCCAGAUGAGAAAGUUGAGGCUCAGAGAGGUCAUCUGCAAAGAGCCUUGAGGCCGGGUUCCUUCCGCUUCCAGCUCCCCAGCGUCCAACGUCAAUGCAUUCAAGCCAAUGAGAAAUGGCAGUGAAGACG
rnacentral:lncRNA from 1 species